rnacentral:rRNA from 1 species
AUUGAACGCUGGCGGCAGGCUUAACACAUGCAAGUCGAGCGAGCGGCGGACGGGUGAGUAAUGUCUGGGAAACUGCCUGAUGGCGGGGGAUAACUACUGGAAACGGUAGCUACUACCGCAUACCAUCAGAUGUGCCCAGAUGGGAUUAGCUAGUAGGUGGGGUAAUGGCUCACCUAGGCGUCGAUCCCUAGCUGGUCUGAGAGGACGACCAGGCACACUAGAACGGAGACACGGUCCAGACUCUGACGGGAGGCAGCAGUGGGGAAUAGUGCACAAUGGGCGCAAGCCUGAUGCAGCCAUGCCGCGUGUGUGAAGAAGGCCUUCGGGUUGUAAAGUACUUUCAGCGGGGAGGCGGUACUCGCAGAAGAAGCACCGGCUAACUCCGUGCCAGCCGCCGCGGUAAUAC